UAUAAAUUGUAUACAUAUAUUGGAAUUGUAUGUUAAAUUAAUGACAUUGACACAUGCAAAGACAAUUUUUAUUUUAAAUUAUUUAAAAAAUGUCUGUGCAUGUGUUAAUGUCAUCAAAUUGAAUUUGUGUGUCUCAUGUUUGUUAUAGGUUUGCCUCAGGCCAAGCUGACAAUAUUUCCAACAUUUGCUACUGAUGAAGAAAAGGUGCAGAUGGUCUGUGGAGGUCAUGAGAAUCAGCAUAUAUCUGAGUGCAUGUUUUACCCUGCAGGACAGGAGAACUUUUUAAAACCAAGUGCAUCGUGUAACUUUUCCCUUACUGGUGCCAACCUGAUCAUAUGGUCACAAGAUCAGGAGAGUUCACAUGUUAACAUAUCCUGCUACUAUACUGUGCAUGCCUUAGGAGAAAAUGGAACAUCACCUCAUUCCAACAUAGUCUCAGUCAGGGUCAGAGGUUUGGCCACCAUGUCGUCUUUGCCACCAACCACAGAGGACAGCCCAAAUACAAUGACCCCCAAUGGAGGAACCUUUCAAGUGAAUUUGUCCACUGUGUCAACAACGAACACAACAACAUCUUUGGCUGUAACAUCCAGUACUGAAAUCAUAACAGAUUCAUUAACCGGUAAGUGCUUCAUUCCUUCUCAUGAUUUUCCUCUAUUAAUCAAACAUUUUGAUUGGUUGGGUUUAAAUCAACUCAUCUAA
ensembl:lncRNA